GACGAACGCUGGCGGCGUGCCUAAUACAUGCAAGUCGAACGCAGUGGGGACGGGUGAGUAACACGUGGGUAACCUCCCAUCAGAGGGGAUAACACUUGGAAACAGGUGCUAAACUGCUAAGGGUGGAUGGAGCCGCGGUGGAUUAGCUUGUUGGAGAGGUAACGGCCCACCAAGGCCACGAUGCAUAGCCGACCUGAGAGGGUGAUCGGCCACACUGGGACUGAGACACGGCCCAGACUCCUAAGGGAGGCAGCAGUGGGGAAUCUUCGGCAAUGGGCGAAAGUCUGACCGAGCAACGCCGCGUGAGUGAAGAAGGUUUUCGGGUCGUAAAGCACUGUUGUUGGAGAAGCGGUAUCUGACCAGAAAGCACCGGCUAACUCCGUGCCAGCAGCCGCGGUAAUAC
rnacentral:rRNA from 1 species